CCGGCGGCGCCGCAUCGCGGCGGCCAUUUUGUGCGGCUGCGGUCGGUGCGUGGGGCUCGGCGCGCCGCGGGCCCGGGCGGGGCGGCUCCGUUCUAACCCUUUUUCCCGUACAGAUCCCUCGGAUUGGCUUGGCUUCUGCUACUUGUUAAGAAAAAAACAUCUGUCUUUGCAGAUGGCCGCGUGCGUGUUCCGGGUGGAGCUGCCCGUGUCCUGCCGGAGCCUCCUCGACAGGGACCCGGGCUCCAGGUCGGACCCCCUCUGCGUCCUGCUGCAGGACGCGGGCGGUGGUCGGUGGACUGAGCUAGAUCACAUGGAAAAGGUCAAGAACUGCCAAGACCCUGAAUUCUGCAAGAAAUUGGUUGUGGACUACUACUUUGAGAAAGUGCAGAAGCUGAAAUUCAGAGUGUAUGAUAGAUAACAAGUCCUUUGAUUUCAAUGAUGAUGACUACCUGGGAGGGAUUUAGUGCACACUGGGACAGGUUGUAUCCAGCUCAUUGGUCACCUGACCACUGGCUGGGAAAGCCAGCAGGAAAGGGCACAAUGUAUUAUGAAAAGGACUCGCCCAGCCGGCGGCAGUCAGCGUGCCCCCGGAACCGAUCGUGGCCAUGAGAGAGCCGCAUCUGGGCCCACAAUCACCUAUCAGCUGCGAUGUGACAGGAAUUUCUGGAUCCUUGAAAGCUGGUUACCCAGCUUUGCUUGUAGGUACAUCAUCCACCUUGAUAACAGGAUUAUUUGUACUGCCAGGAGUCAUUGACUCUGAUUCAGUGGGGAAAUAAAGAUCAUGGCUUGGACUCCCCAGCAGACCUGUGCGGUCCCCACCAGCAGCAGUAUAGCCCAACUCACACUUUUCCUGGCAGCACCCCUAUCUGCACCCCCAAUAGCUGAACAGAGGGGAGGUGGGUUUGGUUUUACAGGGAUCCCACAGAUUUUUGGACACAUCUUGUCACAUGCCAAUACAAAGUGACUCUGACAAGACUCAUUGAUACUGGAGCCGAUUGUGACUGUUAUGUCAAAAAGCCAAUAGCCCAGUUAACUGACCAUUAAGGGCUGUGCCUCAGAUGCUCUCAGGCAUAGGUGGGAAUGGCCAAAGCCUGCAGAGCCAACACUUGGUGCAAAUUACAGAAUCUGAGAGCCAAAUUACUAUAAUUAACCCUUUUAUGUACUGUCAGUUCCCCUAGUUUUGUGGGGGAGAGGCUUUCCUUGUGUCUCUACAGAGAAAAGACCACCUGGCUCCCUGCCUGAAAUGUGAAACUUUUCCAGGAACUUCUACCAGCAGCUGAGAGAAGCCAGGAACCCUACCAAGCCCCCAGGAGAAGGAGGGGGAGGAAGAAGAAAUUACAGUUCACAACUCACGUGUUUUGUCCCAGCUGUGAAAGAAACUGUGAACCUUUGGGUUUUAUGUCAGUAUAAAAGUGGAAAUUGGUGGUGUUGCAAACCCCUUUUGGCAAAAACAUUUAAUUUUGAAUUGUAGUAGGCCAUGAGAACGAGGAUAGCCCUUACCUCUCUAGUCUCAUGAGAGAAGUGUUGAGGGAAUCCAAAAAUAGCCAUAUUUACAAAGUAGAGUGCAAACAAAAUAACUUAGUGCCUUAUAUUUGGCCAAUCCCUGAACAAGCUUGGGAAAAAACAAAAAAAGAAUGUGCUAAAAGAUAUGCUUGGAAACUAAAAUCCAAAAAGAAGUCUUUGCCACAACAUAGUUAAGAAAAGCAUGGAAUUAAAUUGAAUGCUAUGCUUGUGCUUAUUAACAUUGCUUGCUUUUACUAACACAGCUUAGCCUGUUAACCAACCCAAAAUAAAUGUUUAGAUAAUUCUAGCUAAUGUAACAAAACAAGAUACCCUAUGCUUAGCUACUGCCUCCCCAGAAAAUCGAUUUUCAACCUGCUUAAUAACUCAGAAUCUAUCCAUAAUAGCAUAUAGCAACUAAAAAUAGUGUGUUUAAACUAAGAAUAGAAUCUGAAUCUUAGCUAGAUAACCUGUUUAGUGGCUGGGGUUUAACACUCUGGCUAAAGGAUUUGUUUAGAAUAGGUAUGCAUGUGUUGAUUUUAAUAAUAAUUGUGUUAAUUCUGAUACCAUGUUUACUUCAGUGUACCCAGAGAUUAAUAAAUAAAGCCAUCAAGGGAAUAUUUUUAGUAGAAAAGAAGGGGAAGAUAUAGUGAAAUCAGGAAGUGCUUUGGACUUGACUAGCAUAAGAGAUCUGAUAGCCAGGAUGCCUUGGCAGGAACAAACAGAGCUUUGAAGAUUGCAAGAAGGGAAUUCCCUGAACAGGGAGAAGAUUGAAUCAAUGUUGAAAUAUGCAUGUAUGUUUGUAUGAUGUUUAACUCAAUCAUUGUAGUAAACCAUUACUAGCUUUCCUAGAAUGGUAUAUAUUAGCUUAUGUAGCCCACAGUAAAAUCAGAUUCUGAUCACUGAAUCAAUUGUCCCCAUCUCUCUUCAUUGCUGAUACUCUACUAGUUACAUUUCUUGCCUUUUGGCCAGGAAUCUCUGCAUUUGCAGACAUUCAGCUAAACCACUAAUCCAUGUGUGAGCAAAGGCUCACUGUGUUUUGUGUUAUUUACAGAGGAGUAAACUGGAGAUACAAUUGGAUGUUGAAAUCUACAAUGUCAAACUAGAAACUCAACUGCCAGGCUUAAGUUUUGAGGUAUUAUUUGGAGUGUUUUGUAUGUAGAUACAAAUCAGUUACAUAAUUAUUUCCAAUAAACUGAUAUUUCUGUAUUUUUGUUAAAGAAGAAGUAGUGGAAAUUUAGGUGUUCUGCUCAAUGUUAUUUUAAGCCAAAGACCAAUACAGGGAUUUAGUGGCCUAACUCUCAGUUAGCAAAAUGAUGUGGUAUAUAGGGACAAAAGUGAUCUGAAGAGGAGGUCCUGGAAUUGGAACUGAUAAAUGCUGAUGACUUACAGAGUCCAGCAUUUUUAGAAAGGAAAAUAAAAGUGAGGAAAGAAAAUUAAUUUAUAGUUUGACUUUGUUCUUUGUUUGAAGUAUUAUCUACUAAUUAGUUAAUUCUUUACUCAUUUUGGUAAAAUACAGAGGCAGCUGAUUACUUCUGGGUUUUUGUGUGCAGGAUUUCUUAGGUAAAUUGGAUCAGUUUCUGGAGUUUUACAAGCAGAGCAAUGCUGGAACAUGACAGGUUGUGUACAGAUCAGAGGUAGAAUUUCCACACAGUUUUUUCCUUGAGUUGAUGUUAGACAGCUUACUCUUACUAAAAGUGAGAGUUGCACUCCUGGUCAUGCUUUGUACCAGUUUUGCAGAGAAAGUAUUCUAUAAAAAGUUACUGUACUCACUAUGGCUGCAGCAAAUUGUUUAUUUGCAGCCUGGUGACUGGAUGGAGCUACCUGAGUGAGGAGUCUGAUCACAAGUGGCAAGUGAGAGGUCAUUCUUCCUUUUCAAUCGUGUUGAGCUUGAUGGUAAAAUUUAACUUUACCAAGAGCAUCAAGCUUUUAUUUCUUACAGAGCUGAUGCUUGGACAUUGAUACAUGCCAGGGUUGAACUAGUUGAGGCUACUCCCAGCUUGUCAUGUCAUCAUUCCUAGAGAGUUGCAUGCUGUAUUCCUAUGUGACACUAUGCUGUCAUUUUUCUAAGGUUAUCAAGAAAAAAUCCAUGCUGGUGGAAGUUCAGUGUUCCCUCGCAAACUUUCUGUGGUGGUGAUUUUAAUAAACCUAUCAAGGUCCAGCCUUUAGAAAUUCUUUGUUGUUCCAAGUCAUCCAUUCUCUGUUGAUGCUAACUGGGAGUUAUCAGGUUGUCUAGUCAUAUUUAAGUUAUUAGAUGGCCUUUCUAGAGUUGUAGUGUAGCAGAUAAGUGAUUAUAUUUCCGUUUUGAAACACUAUGAGUUGUCAAAUUAAGAAGUCAGGAAAUGCUGAAGUGACACAAUUUCCAAUGAUUGUUAGUCAUAAGAAGAAUUGUAACUGGUUUUUUUUCACUAUUCUAGCCAGGGUUUCAAGUUGAGCUUUGGUGGUAGUGUCUUGUUUGGUUGGGUGGUUGGUUGUUUUGGGAUUUUUUUCAUUGUGGCUUUCUAGCACUGUUUCUUAGUUAACUGAGAAACUUGCAGAUGUUGGACAAACUUGAGUGCCUUGGGAUACUGACACAGAGAGGACUUGGAGGUAUCAGUCAGAUUUAUCCAUUCAUGAGACUGGAAGCUUUUCCCAACUAUUUUCUAUUUGUUUCAAGUAGAAAUUUAGUUUUGAGUCAGAAUUGCAUUCCCCUGUGGUCUUGUAUAUGAUUACUAAUUCUCUGUGGCCUUGGCCUGCAGGGCUGUAGCAGAUCAACUAAAUAUUUUAAUAUGUUUCCACAAAAAAAAGUUCAACAACUUACUAUGUUAAUUUUUCUUCUAAGCAAUGCAUUGAUAAUUUAAAGGUAUUUAAAUCCAUAGAUAGUUCUGUGUGAGUAUAAUUUCUCUCUGUCUAACACCUAAAAGCUUUACAUUUGCAGAAUUUUACUGCUUCACCCUCUCUCUGAAGAAAUCUCAUGCUGAAAGCUUGAUAUGGAAGAUUUAGCAAAAAGCAUGCAUGCUAAUGUUGUUCUUUGUGUAGUAUGGCAGUUCCUUAGAAUUACUGAGAUUAUUUUAAUUGGAAAUAGGUGUUCAGGUGUUGUCUUGGUUUAAAAGACAGGUGUCUGACAAGGAAGGUAGUAACCUUCAUAGGAUGGAAAAUAUGUGUCCCUUCCCUCUGAAUUAUUAUAACUUUGGAAGUAUGGGGCUUUCAGGCAAAGAUAUGGGAAAAAGAAUAGCAGCUCUUUAUGUGUGUGUGUGUGUGUGUGUGUGUGUGUGUAACAAGGCAAACACCAGCCCCGGCAGCAGCAAGGAACAGCCCCAGAGAGCCAGUCCCAGGCUCCUCCCGGCUGCAGGCACCUUCCCCUUUGCUGCAGUUCCGGGCACAGCCGGCAGGGGCGCUGCUGGCUCCCGGCCGGGCAGGGCGGGCGCGAUGAUUCCCCCGCGCCUGCAGGGGGCGCUGUGGCGCCAGCUCGGCCGCCUCUCUCCACACGGGAAUGGCGGGCGGGCUGGCGGAAGGGAUGGCCAAGGGGCUUCCUUUGGAAACUCACGGCAAGCAGCCGGGAAGCUGAAUGGACUGCAGCAGGAACCUCGGAGCAGCGGGCUGGAACGGCAGAGAUGAACAGAACCUGGGUGGCAAACAAAGUGUAGCAAAAAACCUGAAGCUGUGGCAGGAGCAAUGAGGGUCCCAACAGAUGCAGGGUGUUGAAUUGAAGUAUAGCAAAACCCCUUAAUCAGGAGCAGAAAACAAUGGAGCUGGGUAGUGGCAGCUGGGCUCCCACAAGCAGAAGGGAGGUACUCCCUCCAGAGAGGGAGUCCUGGGAUUCUCCUGAGGCACCCAAGCAGUUGAUGAGGUUGAGUGUUGAAAAGAUCCCAAUUCAAUGUCUGCUCUUAUGAGCAGAGGCUCACCCAUGGUAAGGAGAAGCAGUGAAGGACACAACUUUGCAGUGGUGAAUCCUCCAGGCAGUAGCAGUCCAGCACCAAAACUAUGACCACCUGACCUCUGAUCCUAAGAGCAUGAGUGCGAGAGAGGGCUGAGCCCAGGCCCUGAUCUGCAGCUAAGUCUUGGUAUAUCUGUGUUUUGCAAGAGAAAAUCCCCCCCAGCUACCAAGCUCACUCUCCAGCUAAGAGACUGCCGCCAACUACACCCCUUGCCCCUUCCUCCUCUCCUCAUCUUGGCCACAUCUUUUCUCUGUCUUAAGUAUUGUUGUUUUAAGUAUUGUCAUUCUCAUCUCAUAGGCGACAAAUGGGAGAAAGAUUCCCUGAGAGAAAGAAAAACAAAAAUCUUUUUUUCCUAAAAAAAAAAAUAAAAUUCUAACCUCCAACAAGUGUGCUGGGCUUGUUGGUAGGUGGCAGUGUUCUAAGAGGUGUUUGUGAGCUCUUACUGGUUGGGAAUCAACAGUCUUAGGUAAGAAGGAAGUCAUCUUGGUUAAAAAGUGUGCAGCAAGCAUGUAGAGGAGUUAGCUAAGAGGUGGUGCAUAUUGUCAUUUGUUAGAACUGACGUGACGUGGUUUACACAUGCUGUUUUGUGGGGCUAUAUUUGCUGUAGCCCAAAAAUAUUUGUGUUGUUAUUUUGUUUGUUUUCUAGAAGCUUUCUCUGCUUUGGAAUCCACUUCAGGGUGACCAGGUUCUUCAAAAGGAUACCUUUUUGCUGUUAGUUCAUUUGAGCCAAAAUUCUUAAUGCACGGACGAAUAAUUUGUGAAGUUCUCCAAUGCAGCUAUGAAAAAGGACUGAACUGUUCACAUGCUGAGGAAGUUAGUGAGUGGAGUCUUGGCUGACAGGCAGGAGUUUCGCUAACAACACUGAAGUAUGUAAUAUUGCAAUACUGUUUUAUUUUUCAUUAGCAUCAUGGUUUUAAAGACAGGUGUCUGCUAGAGAAGGCAGGAGCCUCCCUUGGAAUGAAAAAUGUAAACCCCCUCCUUCCAAAUUAUAAUUUUGAAAUUAAGGGGCUCUCAGGCAAAGAUAUAGGGAUAACAGUUCUUUACUAGUAUGUAUAAUAAAGCAAACAGACAAGAACUCUGGCAUUAACAACAAAAAAAAACCAGGAACCUAGUCCCAGCCUUCUUGUCCACAGGCACCUUCCCCUUUAGUGCAGUUCUGGGCAUGGCCGGCAGGGGUGCUGCUGGCUCCUGGUGGACAGGGCAGAUGUGGUGAUUCCCCCACGGCUGCAGGGGGCACUGUGGCGCAGGCUCGGGGGUAUGGUAGCUGAUAUGGGGGUAAUGGUGGCUUUGUGGGAUACAAAAAGGGAUGGAAGAGAGGCUUUGCUUCACAAACCCCUGCAGCAGUUGACCCCUGGAGCAUUUGUUCCAGCAGGACUUACAGGAACACCAAGCUGGGUCGGCAGGAAUGAGCAAAAAUCCCAGGCAAGAUGUAUCAGAAGCUCCUGAGCUGUGUCUGGAACUGUGGGACAUCUUGGCAGGAAGGAAGUGAAAGGGUACAGUGCAGUGAAAUCUCAGAGCAGUGCCAAAGAAACAACGGGGAUGGAAUAGCGUCAGUCCAGCUCCCAGUUAUUGCUGCGGGAGACAAAUAGAUCACACAGACACAGCUUGAGGUGUGGUGAAAGGAAGAGAGAGCUUUAUUUCUUCUCCCAGAAUUUAUAGGUUUCUGGCCAUAGCCAGGUAUUGGAUGAUCAGGAUAACACUUCCCCAACUGCACUGGCCGUGAGAGAUGUCCAUCACAAGACAUGUAUCAGAAAGAAUGUACACAUACCUAUGUUUACAGUUACUGUCCUGGGAAGGUCUUUAGAAAACUAUGUCAGCAAGCUCAGAAGCCGAGUUUUCAGGGCAACACCCAGCAGGGCAGAGAGGAGUGAGCCCAAGAUCCUGGGCACCCGAGCAGACUAGGAUAGGUCUCUCAUUUAGUGAGGUAGGAUGUUAAUAAGGUCCCCAGUCCAACAGCUGCUCCAACGAGCAAAGGCUCACCCACUGAAAAGAUAAGGCAGUACAGGACUGGGCUCUGACGGUAACAGUAAAUUCUCUUUGCAGUAAACAACAGCUUGCCUGUCCUCUGAAACCCAGUGCGAGAGACCUAACAGCUCCCCAGCUUCCGUCUUUUUGCCCGUCCAAAUCUCUAGGUAUCCCCUCCCCUCUCCCCUGAGUUUGGCCACCCUUUUGUUUUUCUUAGUUACCCAUAAGUACCCAGUAGUUAAUUUCCUAGCAACUUAUGGGAAAAAAUUCCAUAUGUACAAAAGAAAGAAACCCAACCCCCAACAUUUUGGAAUUUGUGAAACCUCUUGUUUGAGGCUGCCAGAAAUUUACCUAGGAGCAAUUUUGCAUGAAAUACUAGUAGUCAGUGAAUGAAAAACCUGAACUUCAGUUCAGCAGAAACAGACAUUUUGGUGUGUCCCCUAAAAACCAACUUUGCCAGCUAUGUAUGAGGAUUACAUGCUGAAUAUGUGUGAACAUAAGUCUUUUGAUCAAAUGUUACCUAGUAUUAUGGUAAUUCUUUCUUCAUUGUGAUGCAGAGUGAUGUUCUUCUUGUUCUAUGUUAAGAACAGCUCAUAUUUGUGACAAAGCUGUAUCUUUUGACAGUUCUGUGAAAAAUAAAUGAAAGCAGUGGAUCACCCCCAUAGUUACUUGUAGGUUUUUCAAGCAAGGCAGACACCCUGGUUCAGAAGCCAGCACGGUGGCCCCCCCUUUGCCACCGGACCACUCUACCCACAAGACAUCAAUGUGAUGGAUGGCGAAGCAAUGGCGUUUAUUGCAGGAGAAUUUGACCUUUUAUAACCUAGGGUCAUUGUGUUACUCCCAUCUGCUUACAUCACAGCUAGGUGCUAUUGGCUAAUUGCAGGAGGUUUUACUAUCCUAACAGAGAGGGGUUUUUGCUCGCUUUCCGUUACAUCCCGAAAUCUUCCGCAUCGCAAUGCCCUAGACUACAACAGUUGCUCAAAUGGAAAUAGCAAAUGUAGCAAAUUUGUGGGUGUUGCUAUUCACAGGUUUCCUGGCAUAUACACAAAGGCAAAAUAGUUUUCUCUGGAUUUUAAAAGUUCCUCCUGUAGAUGAAGGGUGCCUUUUCCUUGAUGACUGUAUUCCACACCUUGUAAUGAGUAUUGGAUGGUUCAUUUGCGAAGAAAUAAUCAAUAACUAACUCUAUACAGUGUUGUCAGGAAAAUUAAUCCACAAACACCAGAGGUUUAUGUCCAAAAAGGAGACAGUGGAGUCCUUUUACUUUGUUCAAAUAAAAGGGAGAGGUCAUGGGGCAUUCCCCUGGGGUCUCUUAAACUUUUGGAGGAUGGCAGCCUCCUUUUUAUCCUAAUUUCCUGGCCACAUUUCCCUCUCUCUUUCCCCAUUGGCUGAGGUACUUGAGAGGUACAGACUUCCUGGAAUGCCUGAUACCUAAGAUUCCCCUCUGAUGUAUAACCCUCUCUUUUAAUUUUUAAUUCUUAUGGAAUUUAUGUUUUUUCCCCAUUGUUUCUUUCAGCUUUCAAGACCCAAUUUCAUUUAUCAGCAAACUUACAGUUUGUUUAUAAAGGCAAAUAUAUUUUUUUCCAUUCAUCAAUCAGUGGAAUCCUUCCCAUUGUUUCUUGAAUCUUUCGGUGCUAGUUUUAUCUACCACCGGACCCACAACUUGUUCGUAAGGACAGAUCUGUCAUUUUUCUCAGUGUUGUGCAGUAUUGGAGGGUUUUGUUUGCAGCAACACAAUGCUUUGGGUUGCAUGCAGUGAAUCUUGGCCAAUCUUAGGAAAAAACCUUGUAAAAACAGGUUUGUUUUAGGUCAUACCAUGUUGUGAACUAAUAACCAAACUGGUCCUUGGCAUGCCUAUGAGGGGAGUGGGAGCAAGAAGGAGGGGGGAAGAAAUGUGUAGAGAUGUCAGCUGCUGAUUCCCUGCAGCUCUCCAGGUGUACUGGCAUAAAGGAGACCAGUCACUGGGAGUCUGCACCCUGUCUUCUGCACAAGAGAAGACCUCCCUGACAUGAUCCAGUCACUUUUGGGUGAUGUGCAAACAUCAGAAUUGUUGGGAGAAGACAAAGUUCAGGCAGGAGGGGUGGGAGUUGCUUCAUGGUGGGGUGUCUAGAAGAGAAGAGCAGGAGUGGGGUGGGAAGGAUGGAGGAGGAGAAGGGGGAACAGUCUCUGGUAUCUUUUGCCAUUAAGAGACUGAAGGAUGCUGUGGUGCCUCCCAUUUAGGUGACUACAUUAGGCCAUAAUUCACCUGGCUGUUUGUAUGGGUUUUCCAUUGAUACCAGUCGAAGAUCCCCAGUAGAUCUGAGUAAUCCUUUAAAGAACCCUGUGUCAAAUUCAGGUAUCUAGCCACUGAAUUUAACAUCCUUAUUGGGGUGUUAUCCAUGGGCUCAUCUUGUCCCAUUGUCCUUAGGAGAAAGCUCUGUGGUUUAUACUGGACUAACAUCAAUUUCUUGAUUUCUAAAGGCAGAUCUCAAAAAGAGAGUUCCUGAGUCUGUGAGCAUGUGAGUUUCAGAGGAGGAGGAGGCAACUGUUUACAACUGUGCCUUAGCUGACUGCUUCUGGAAUAACUUGUUUUCUGCAGUCAUAUACACUGAACACGUUAGAAAUGCUCCUCACUGGUGAUUUUUGUGGAGAGCUAUGGCACCAAGUUGCAGUAAGCCAUAGUUAUUAGUAUAAGUUUACUUGUAAAUGCAUUGCUCUUUUGCAUUAUCUGGUUCUGAAGCCUUCAUGCUGAUACAAAAAUGACUGUUUAUUAAUAAAGUAUUUAUAAUUUGGUUGGUAUAAGAUGCAGAAAGAGACAGACUUACAUCAUUCUAUUCCAUGGAAAUUAGAAUUUCCUUGUAAAUUGAUGCUAUUGUUGGACAGAAAAAAGGAGCAUACCUUAGAUAACAAAAUUUUAAUUGCUUGUUCCCAUUACUUCAGUUGCAUGUAUUGUCCUAAAUGACCUCACAUUUAUACAUCUGGGCUGUGAAAUGUUUCUUUUAAAUAUUUAUUUAUUUAUUUAAUCUCUCACAUUUUAACCAGGGAAAGAUUUCUUUUUUUUUUUUUCUUUUUUUUUUUUUUUUUUUUUUAAUUUUCACCAUGCAUACUUAAAUGGAUGAGGAAGUGUGCUGUAUUCUUAUUAGUACUUGUUGGACUGCUACUUGUUGUUGCAUCUGCUUGAUUACUUGUUGCUGUGGCAUUUUGGUUUCUUCAGCACUGAGCUCCUUGGGAUACUCCCUUACAAGGAGUCUCCUUUAUCUCAGUUCUGUUUCAGGAAAGAUUCUCCAAAGGCUCAUUUGCUUCUUGUUUCUUGUGUGUUUAUUCAUAUAUAAUUAAAAUACUUGGGAGGUCUUCCCCAGACCUUUUUGCACAAGUCCAGCCCACCGUUGCCUGGCUCACUUUGGCUUGAAAAGCACAAAAUGCCCCGAACUGUGCAGCCUUUUUAUCUUUAUACUUAUUCUUACUCAAUUAACAAUAGACACGUAAAUUGUUUUUCUUAAUGACUUAAUGACCUGUGUGCUGCAUUGCAGCAUUUUCUAUCCAAUCACCUAUUACUACCUAAAAAACUUCUAGAAGAAGAUGAAGAAGAAAAUUAAGAAAAAGGAAGGAAAAGAGAUAACACCUGAAACCCCUCCAUCUUGUCUUCUGCUUUCUAAACUAAUUUAAACUCUAAACUUUAACUUUUUCACCCAGUGACUUAAGAAAACUCUUUAGUCUACACACACUUUUAGCUUUUCUAUUUAACUUUUACAGUUGUUUUCAUGGUGUUAUAUGAAAUUCAGUGUUUUCUUGGAUGUCAGAUCUAGAUACCAGAGACGAGGGCACACUAUGCCUCAGACUCCAACAUCAGUGAACAUCUUCUUCUCUUGAGAUUCAUCCUGGCUGUGUGUCUUUGCUCCUGGCUUUCAGUUAGUGAUGUGGCCAACAUUCUCAGUCAUGAUGGCAUGGGGGAGUUCACCAGCAUCAAUGCAGAACUGUCAGACAGGAGAUGGGGCAGUGAGCCAUGGCCAGUCUCCCCUAGACUGCCCAUUGCCUUCUCCCUUCUCCUUUCAGGUGCAGGGUGCAGAUCAUGACAGUGAUGGCUCACAUGACUAGACAGGCACUUUGGAAACUACCCUGGCACAGAUAGACAGCUGGUGCUGGCUCUCUGGUGAGCUUCCUCAGCCCCUGAUAACUUAGUCCAGAAUUCAUGCUUUCAAACCCUCUUUCUAAUAUUGACCUCAGACAUGCACUUUCAGUUGUUGCUUCCAAACACGUGUAUUUUUGUCUGUUUUUUUUUUGUAUUAGGAAGCCAACAUUUGGAAAGAAUAAAAACAGGUGUGGGAAUUGUAUUUCUUUGUUUUCUUUGGGUUCUGUUACCAUUCCUAUUUCUAAAAAUAUCCUUGAGCCUGUUAUCUGCUGGCCCUGUUGACUGCUGAGCUACUUUUCCCAGCAGUUCAGCUUGCUUUGGCCCCUGCUGAGUCAAGUGAAAAUAGAAGUGCUUGUUGGUGCUGUAACAGAUGAGUUCAGAAGCACAGCUUGUCUCAGAUAAUGUUUGUGCUGGAGCUGGUCACCCUCCUGAGCACCAUGGUCACCUUGCUAGCUAAAAGAGAGUAGCAGGCUUUCCAAGUGGCACUUGUCUUGGUCAUCCAGUAUAGAGUAAGUUGAGUCAUGUGCUGGUGGUGCUGGUUUUGGUUUGUUGUCUGCAGUGAAAACCUGACAGAUAUCUCAUUCUCCUGGAGAUGUCCCACCUGAAUUAAGGCAGCUGUAUUUGCACACAGGACAUAGUCUAGGACUACUCCAGUUGCCAGCCAGCUUGAUUAGUCAUAAUUCAAAAGUGGGUGGAAGGUUCUUGCCUUUUUUCUAGCCCUUUCAGAACCAAUGUGAGUGAAUCCAAGCAGGGAAACACUGCUGCUGGGAAUCUGUGGCCUAGGAUUUUUUGGCUUACCCACCCCGAGAUUUUUGCCUCCUCUGCCCAGUGCUGGGGACAAAAGCAUCCUGUUUAGCUUGUCAGAUAAUGGCCAAACUUGUUGCAGAUCUUUAAAAAUUAAAUUUCUUAAUUCUGCUGGGUGUUUUGGUAGCCGAAAUUGCAGGAUGUGUGUCACAGUCUGUUUCAUUAAUUUGCUUUCCUGUAAAGGCACAUGUUUUGGAACUUGCUUCUGCACUUGCUUUCUGUAGGUGGAAUAUGAAUGCAUUCAUCCUGAGAAAAAACAAAAGGAAAACAACUACAAAAACUCUGGCAUUAUUAGGAUAAAAUCCUACAAGGUAGGAAGAUUUUCAUUGGGAUUUUUUUCUUUUUUAUUUUCUGAUCAUAGUGAAAUGAGAAGGUGGGACAAUGUCUGUCUGUUACUCUAGAUUGAGACAGAAUAUUAAUUUUUUGAUUAUGUGAUGGGAGGCUGCCAGAUUAACUUUAUGGUGAGUUUUUCCCCACUGCUUGUAUUGGUAGAUGAAGGACAAAAGUAGUGAAGUUGUGUUCAGUACUUUGAUUGGCAGCCUGAGUGACUGCAAAUGCAGUGUGAAAUUGCAGUGAAGAACCCUGCAAAACACUAAGGAUUAUGGGAGCUCAGGACUGCUGAACAAUGAGCCAAUGUGGGUGCGGAGGAGCCUGCAGGGCCUGAGAUCCUGGCUCUCUCCUGGAGGCAAGACACCUUUCACUCAGAGAGACACAAUGUGUUGCUCCCAGGGCUCUUUGAGUUAGAUAUGCUAAACUGUUGUGCCCCAUUGGUGUUCCCCCCUGCUGUCCCACCCCGAUACACGUAUCUCGGGCUUCCCCCUGCCCCUCUCCUCUCUGAUAAAUAUCCCGGGUUUUCCCCUGUUCGAGAGAUUCACUGUUGCCGGCACUCUUUGCCGAAGCUCUGCCUGAAUAAAGGUUUGUGCUUAGCGGAACGCUGAACCAGCUUUCUCAUCCCUGCUUCCUGUGUUGCCUGCCUGCCUGCCGGUACUGCUGAGCCGAGCUGAAAUCACUCGCCUGCUCGAAGCUGCUCACGCGCUUCGGGCCAGCCCUUCUCAGGGCUGAAUAUCUAGAGAAGUCACGGUGCUCCGGGCUUUCCGUCGCCGCGGCAAGCCAAUUUGCAGAAGCUGUUUAUUGUUUACAUUAUGCACUUAUUUAUAGAUUGUAACUGUUGAUGCGAUUGUCACUGUUGGACACGAAAUAAAGAUGCUUGACUUCAGUUCCAA